AACGAACGCUGGCGGCAUGCCUAACACAUGCAAGUCGAACGAAAACUUCGGGCCUUUGGGCGCACGGGGGGGUAACGCGGGGGAACCUGCCCUUAGGUUCGGAAUACCUCCCCGAAAGGGGUGCUAAUACCGGAUAAGCUCUUCGGGCCAAAGAUUUAUUGCCUCUGGGUGGGCCCGCGUUGGAUUCGGUAGUUGGGAGGGUAAAAGCCUGCUAAGGCGACGAUCCAGAGGUGGUGUGUGAGGAUGCUCAGCGACACUGGGACGGGGACACGGCCCAUACGCCUACGAGAGGCAGCAGUGGUGAAUAUUGGAGCCUGGGCGAAAGCCUGAUCCGGCACUGCCGCGAGAGUGGUGAAGGCGUUAUGGUUGUAAUGCUCUUUUACCCGGGAUGAUAUUGCCGUUACCGGGAGAAUAGGCUCCGGCUACUUCCUU
rnacentral:rRNA from 1 species